AGAGAGAGGAGGGGGGCCCUGCCUCUAAAAUGAGUCUCUCUGUAGAGAGAGAGGAGGGGGGCCCUGCCUCUAAAAUGCAUCUCUCUGGGGGACAUGACACCAAAGCUAAGAGACCAAUCAAGCGGAAAGGACCAGCCUCCCCUGUACCAAGCUUGUGUCCAUGAAGAGUGACCGGUCUAUGGAUCAACCUCAACACUUUAGAGAGGGAGACUUUUCUACUGAACAAAGCCCAAUCAAGCGGAAGAGACCAGCCUCCCCUGUACCCAGCUGUGUGUCRAUGAAGAGUGACAAGUCUAUGGAGCAACCUAUAAACUUUAGAGAGGGAGACMUUUCUACUGA